rfam:Gossypium raimondii Chr11_contig_12, whole genome shotgun sequence.
UUUUUUAAGUUUCAUCCAUUUGUAUUAUUAAAAAUUGGCAUGCCUAUGAAAUAACCAGACAGUGUGACACAUGCUGCCUUGUGUACAUCAUGCUGACGUACAAAGACCAGUUUUUAACAGCAGAAAUGAAUGGAAUUUUUAACA